rnacentral:tRNA from 1 species
GGAGGUGUCCGGGUUCCUGGUGGGCCCCACGGUCUUCAAAACCGAUGAGCGUGACUCAGUCGCGCUGGCGGGUUCGAUUCCCGUCCACCUCCGCCA